rnacentral:rRNA from 1 species
GUCUCUUUGUAGAAAUAAGAUAUAAGGAGUCGAACCUGCCCGGUGACUAAGUGUUAAACGGCCGCGGUACCCUAACCGUGCAAAGGUAGCAUAAUCAUUUGCCUUUUAAUUGGAGGCUGGUAUGAAUGGUUUGACGAAAGCUAAGCUGUCUCUUCUAAAAUAAUUAAAAUUUAACUUUUAGGUGAAGAGGCCUAGAUAUAUUUAAGGGACAAGAAGACCCUGUUGAGCUUUAGUGAUUUUGUGAAUCUGAGAUAUUGCUUGGUAAUUAAAGCAAUAAAUAUGUAAUUUUAUAAGUUUAUUUUUCAAAUAAUCUUUAGUUGGGGCGACUGAGGAACAUAAAAAGCUUCCUUUAAAUUAGCGGUUAUUCGGCUGUAUGUGUUUAAAAAGCUAUUUUAACUGAAUAGGUGUGAUCCAAAAUUUUUGAUCAAAGGAAAAAGUUACCAUAGGGAUAACAGCGUAAUCUUUCUGGAGAGAUCUAAUCGAAAGAAGGGUUUGCGACCUCGAUGUUGGACUAAGGUAUCCCAAGGGUGUAGAAGCUCUUGAUGGUUGGUCUGUUCGACCAUUAAAACCUU